AAGUCGUAACAAGGUUUCCGUAGGUGAACCUGCGGAAGGAUCAUUUCUGAGUUGAAUUGGACUUGAUGCUGGCUUCAUUAGAGGCAUGUGCUCAGUCCUACUCAAUCCAAUUACACCUGUGCACUUUCAAAGAUUUGUAGUCCUCCGUAAUGGGAGCCAGUGACUUGUAAUGAGAACACUUGGGAUUACAGUCUUUGCACUUUAUCACAAACUAUUAUAAAGUCUUGUAGAAUGUAACUAGCCUAAGGGCUUAAUGUUAAUACAACUUUCAACAACGGAUCUCUUGGCUCUC
rnacentral:misc_RNA from 1 species